GACGAACGCUGGCGGCGUGCUUAACACAUGCAAGUCGAACGGAAAGGCCCUGCUUUUGUGGGGUGCUCGAGUGGCGAACGGGUGAGUAACACGUGAGUAACCUGCCCUUGACUUUGGGAUAACUUCAGGAAACUGGGGCUAAUACCGGAUAGGAGCUCCUGCUGCAUGGUGGGGGUUGGAAAGUUUCGGCGGUUGGGGAUGGACUCGCGGCUUAUCAGCUUGUUGGUGGGGUAGUGGCUUACCAAGGCUUUGACGGGUAGCCGGCCUGAGAGGGGGACCGGCGACAUUGGGACUGAGAGACGGCGCAGACUCCUACGGGAGGCAGCAGUGGGGAAUAUUGCACAAUGGGCGGAAGCCUGAUGCAGCAACGCCGCGUGCGGGAUGACGGCCUUCGGGUUGUAAACCGCUUUCGCCUGUGACGAAGCGGGAGUGACGGUAAUGGGUAAAGAAGCACCGGCUAACUACGUG
rnacentral:rRNA from 1 species